GCGGAUGUGGCGGAACUGGCAGACGUGCUUGACUUAGGAUCAAGUGCCGCGAGGCGUGGGGGUUCGAGUCCCUUCAUCCGCACCA
rnacentral:tRNA from 1 species